rnacentral:misc_RNA from 1 species
GGAUGAAGAACGUAGCGAAAUGCGAUACUUGGUGUGAAUUGCAGAAUCCCGCGAAUCAUCGAGUUUUUGAACGCAAGUUGCGCCCGAAGCCAUUCGGCCGAGGGCACGUCUGCCUGGGUGUCACGCAUCGUUGCCCCCCCAAACUCCGGUUCGAGCGGGGCGGAAGUUGGCCUCCCGUGCGUGCCUGCGCGCGCGGUUAGCCCAAAAGCGAGUCCUCGGCGACGAGCGCCACGACAAUCGGUGGUUUUUUUACCCUCGUUCCUCGUCGUGCGUGCCCCGUCGCCCGAACGCGCUCUUGCGACCCUUACGCGUCGCCUCGGCGGCGCUCCCAACGCGACCCCAGGUCAGGCGGGACUACCCGCUGAGUUUAAGCAUAUCAAUAAGCGGAGGA